CGGACGGGUGAGUAACACGUGGAUAACCUACCUAUAAGACUGGGAUAACUUCGGGAAACCGGAGCUAAUACCGGAUAAUACUUUGAACCGCAUGGUUCAAAAGUAAAAGACGGUCUUGCUGUCACUUAUAGAUGGAUCCGCGCUGCAUUAGCUAGUUGGUAAGGUAACGGCUCACCAAGGCAACGAUGCAUAGCCGACCUGAGAGGGUGAUCGGCCACACUGGAACUGAGACAAGGUCCAG
rnacentral:rRNA from 1 species